rnacentral:misc_RNA from 1 species
GAUGAAGAACGUAGCGAAAUGCGAUAAGUAGUGUGAAUUGCAGAAUUCAGUGAAUCAUCGAAUCUUUGAACGCACAUUGCGCCCCUCGGUAUUCCGUGGGGCACGCCUGUUCGAGCGUCAUUUACACCCUCAAGCGCAGCUUGGUGUUGGGCGUCUGUCCCGCUCUCCGUAGCGCGGACUCGCCUCAAAGUCAUUGGCGGCGGUCGUGCCGGCUCCUCGCGCAGCACAUUUGCGCUUCUCGGAGGCCCGGCGGAUCGGCAUCCAGCAAGCUACUUUUUAUGACUUGACCUCGGAUCAGGUGAGGAUACCCGCUGAACUUAAGCAUAUCAAUAAGGAGGA